rnacentral:rRNA from 1 species
GACGAACGCUGGCGGCGUGCUUAACACAUGCAAGUCGAACGGAAAGGCCCUGCUUUUGUGGGGUGCUCGAGUGGCGAACGGGUGAGUAACACGUGAGUAACCUGCCCUUGACUUUGGGAUAACUUCAGGAAACUGGGGCUAAUACCGGAUAGGAGCUCCUGCUGCAUGGUGGGGGUUGGAAAGUUUGGGCGGUUGGGGAUGGACGCGCGGCUUAUCAGCUUGGUGGUGGGGUAGGGGCUUACCAAGGCUUCGACGGGUCGCCGGCCGGGGGGGGUGGCCGGCCACGUUGGGACUGAGAUACGGCCCAGGGUCCUACGGGAGGCAGCAGUGGGGAAUGUUGCACAAUGGGCGGAAGCCUGAGGCAGCAACGCCGCGUGCGGGAUGACGGCCGUCGGGGUGUAAACCGCGUUCGCCUGUGACGAAGCGUGAGUGACGGUAAUGGGUAAAGAAGCACCGGCUAAGUACGUG